UGCUGAGCCACAAUGGGAACUCCUACUUUGCAGUUUUAAUUUACAUUUCUCUAAUGAAUAAUCAUGUCAAGCAACUUAUCUCCUAUUGGUCUGUCUUCUUAGUUGUGUCUGUCUAAGUCUCUUAUGCACAUUUAUAAAAUUGGCUUGUUUAUUUUUUUUAAAUUACUGAGUUUUGAGGAGUCUUUUUAUAUAUAUUUUAGAUGCAGGUUCUUUAUUUCAUAUUAUAUACACAGAAAUAUUUUUCCCUUCAGUUUUGUGAUAUGCUCUUCAUUCUCUUCCCAUUGUCUUUCAAAGAACAGAAGUUUUUAUUUUGAUAAAGUCUGAUAAUUCAUUCUUUUAUGUACAUGCAUUUUGUGUGUAUCUAAAAAGCUUUGUCUAACUCAAAGUCAAAAAGAUUUCAUUCUAGAGUUCCCAUUGUGGCUCAGUGGGUUAAGGAACCCAACCAGUAUCAAUGAGGAUGUGGGUUUGAUCCCUGGCCCCACUCAUUCACUCUCCCAUCUGUCUUGUAAUUUGUCUGAAAAUUCCAGUGGUUCCAGCCUUCCUAAAUUCUGCUAUUUGUGGUCUCUGCUCUGCUUGAGUUCUGUUGCCCUGCAAAAAGGUUUCCAUUAAAAACCUUAAGGCUCUUGUCAUCAGUGUGAAUAUAAGGAUCAUCUCAAAUUUUUUUCCUUCCUGAAUUAUAGUCUUACAGUUUUUUUUUUCACUAUUUGAAUAUAGCUGUCUCUUAUAUUUUGUCCAGUUUCAGAGUUGUUCUCUUUUUUUAAUUUUUUUUAACAGCAGGUUGGCAAGUCUAGCAUGAGUUACUUCAAUAUACCCAGCAGUUGAAAGCCUAUAACAACUGGGAGAUAAAAGUGUUCAAGGCAGAGAUAUGAAGGUUCAGAGCGAUUGCUGUGUUCACAAUUUUGAUCUAAUCAGCCUCAAGGAAAUGAAAAUACGAGGGACCACUGAAAAUAUAAGGAAACUGACAAAGAAGUAAAAUGACAUUUCCCACAUCACACUGUUGUCUCAUUGCAGGACCAGGAAGAGGAUCAUUGACACGAAGGGGGACACUAACUCACAGCCCCCCUCCACUCCUUUCUGUCGUCUUCAUCCAAAUGGCUACUUCUCUGAUUGUCCAUUAUUCGAUCAACAAUUAACCCCAGGGAAGAGAAUCUAGGAUUUCCCAGAAAGGCAUUAUUAGCCACCUUUCCUGCAGACAUGGUGAUGCAUCUUGGGAAGAGAAACUCAAAUUAGCUACCAGAAGAAGAUGGCCAUGUCCAGAUACAAGGAGAUGCCCUGUGACCAUGGAGGCAGAGAUUAGUUAUGCUGCCAUGAAGCCAGGAAUGUCUGGGGCUAUCAGAAGCUGGAAGGAAUAGGAAAGAAUCCUCUCCUAGAGAGUUUGUGGACAGCAUGGCCUUGACAACACCUGGACUUCAGACUUCCAGGCUUCAGGAACAGUGAGACAAUACUUUUCUCUUGUUUAAGCCACCCACUUUCAGGUACUUUGAUAGGACAGUCUUAGGAAACUAGUACAUUUAGUAAAGCUGACAAUGUACAUGCUGAUCCAUAGUUCUACUUACCCUUCUCUCUCACACACACAAAGAACCUAGUGUUCAAACUGAGGUCUACCUAAAGUUUAUCUUUUAAAACCUCAAUAAUAGACAUAUAUGUGUAUGUAUGAAAGAAUGGCAGUCAAGAACCCUAUAUUAAUGUGGCUUUGACCCCUCACCCUAGCUUCAACUAGAGUUAUUUGGUUUUUGUUCUCCUAUCCUUUCCUUUGAAUGAAGACUUCCCUGACUAAAUAAAAGCUCAAAAACAACUGGACUAAGAAAACAUUCUUUUCUAAAAUGAUGGCAUUUCCUUUUUAAAAGUCCUUUGAUCUAAUUUAAAGCUUUUUCUAUUUGCACUUGCAUUUUUGCGUUACAAUUUUAUCUCUGUCCCACAAUACAAUAUUCUUAUUUUAGUAAAAUGUUUUCUCCCUCCUGGUAUUUUUACUCCUAUCUAAGUCUAGUUUUUUUUUUUUUUUUUUUACAUAUAUUAGUAGCACUAAUGUGUCUGUUGUAUUUCAAGAUUCACUUAAGCACAUUUUUGUUAGAUAUUUUUAAGUAGUUUGUAAAUGAUUAUAAUCAAUUUUGGAUAGCAAGAAAUAUGGAUCAAAAUUUAUAAUUAUUUAUUUUUGCAUGUGAAUAUCCCAUUUUUUUUCAGCAUGGUUUGUUGAAACGAUUAUCCUUUUCCACUGAAUUUCCUGUUUACCUUUGUUGAAAAGAAAUUGACCAUACAUGAAUGAGUCUGUUUCUGGACUCUUUAUUCUGUUCCAUUGAUAUAUUUGUCUCUCUUUAGACAAUAUCACAUUCUUUAUUACUAUAGCUAUAGCAUAACUCCUAGAAUGAGGUAGUAGUCUGUUCUUUUUUUCAACUUGUUUUUGGCUCAUAAAAUUCACAGUUAUGGAUUAUGGACCUAAAUUUAAAAUCUAAAACUUCAAAACUUCUAAAACAGGAGUUCCUGUCAUGGCUCA